UGGUGUGGCUUGGAUUUGGGGGUUUUUUGCAGGCUUUGAAACAUGAAAUCGGCUCCCCUGAAAAGGAUUAGCGGUAUCUGAGCAGAAACUACUGUCGGGCGUGAUAAAUAUCUAUGCCUCAGUGUGCAUGAACGAACCGCUUCUAACCGAAUGUUGACAAAUUUGACCUCGAAUCAGGUAGGACUACCCGCUGAACUUAA
rnacentral:misc_RNA from 1 species